rnacentral:misc_RNA from 1 species
GAUAUCAUCUUUUUAAUUUUGAUAAAUUGCAAAUGUAACAACGGGACACUAUUGUUGGCAUAUAUGGAAUCUGAACCGUGAAAAGUGAUGUUACAUUAUACUGGCAUGAGUUUUUUAUGUUCCUGAUGACACAUACCUAAUUAUAUGAUAUUAAAUGGUUUUAGAUAAUGUAUAAAGACAUAUGAAAGUAGAAAACACUCCGUCUUCUAGGCAUUUGAGACCCAUAGCUAUACAUAUAUUUGUGGAUAGUAUUGUCUAUUACAUUUUGGACAGUAAUAGAGUUUGUAUAUGAAUUAUCAAUGGUCAAAGGUCAAUUGAAAAUAGAGCUCUUAAAGCAGACGCUAUUAUUUUGUGCCAUGGUAGUACUAGGUGAAGGAGCUUCGCUUUGGGGUCUUUUUGUCCGUCGCUUGGGAGUUGCUCUUAGUGCACCUAAGCAUGGCCUUUGCAAUAGUAUAUCAAGCAAAACUACAAUUAGAGCUUAUCACAGCCAUGGAAUGUGUAUUGUUGGAAGAACUCAUUGGCAUCUAAC